rnacentral:rRNA from 1 species
UACGUAGGGGGCGAGCGUUGUCCGGAUUUAUUGGGCGUAAAGAGCUCGUAGGCGGUUUGUCGCGUCUGCUGUGAAAUCCCGAGGCUCAACCUCGGGACUGCAGUGGGUACGGGCAGACUAGAGUGUGGUAGGGGAGACUGGAAUUCCUGGUGUAGCGGUGGAAUGCGUAGAGAUCGGGAAGAACAUCAGUGGCGAAGGCGGCCUGCUGGGCUGUUGCUGACGCUGAGGCGCGACAGCGUGGGGAGCAAACAGG